UGGGGAAUCUUGGACAAUAGGGCGCAAGCCUGAUCCAGCCAUGCCGCGUGAGUGAAGAAGGCCUUAGGGUUGUAAAGCUCUUUUACCAGGGACGAUAAUGACGGUACCUGGAGAAUAAGCCCCGGCAAACUUCGUGCCAGCAGCCGCGGUAAUACGAAGGGGGCUAGCGUUGUUCGGAAUUACUGGGCGUAAAGCGCACGUAGGCGGGUCGUUAAGUCAGGGGUGAAAUCCCGGAGCUCAACUCCGGAACUGCCCUUUGAUACUGGCGAUCUAGAGGUCGAGAGAGGUGAGUGGAAUUCCGAGUGUAGAGGUGAAAUUCGUAGAUAUUCGGAAGAACACCAGUGGCGAAGGCGGCUCACUGGCUCGAUACUGACGCUGAGGUGCGAAAGCGUGGGGAGCAAACAGGAUUAGAUACCCCAGUAGUCCCUGAGCGGGCUGGCAAGGCGCAU
rnacentral:rRNA from 1 species